rnacentral:lncRNA from 1 species
CAAAGCAAUUAGAAUAUCCAAAAUCCAAGUAUCCUUUGAAACAUUAAUAGUAGUACGAUUGCCUAUAAAUUUAGAAAACUCUCUCUCAAAUGUUCAGGAGCAAGAAGAAAUAAAUGUCAACUCUAGCUUUGUUUAGAAGAAAUAAGCUCAUAUUUGACCUUGGCAACAUUAUCCCAAAUGACAUCGACAUUAGAAAUGUAA